rnacentral:rRNA from 1 species
CCUACGAGAGGCAGCAGUGGGGAAUAUUGGGCAAUGGGCGCAAGCCUGACCCAGCAACGCCGCGUGAAGGAAGAAGGCUUUCGGGUUGUAAACUUCUUUUCUGAGGGACGAAGAAAGUGACGGUACCUCAGGAAUAAGCCACGGCUAACAACGUGCCAGCAGCCGCGGUAAUACGUCGGUGGCAAGCUUUAUCCGGAUUUAUUGGGUGUAAAGGGCGUGUAGGCGGGAAAGCAAGUGAGAUGUGAAAACUCAGGGCACAACCCUGAGCAUGCAGUUGAAACUGUUUUUCUUGAGUGCUGGUGAGGCAAGCGGAAUUCCGUGUGUAGCGGUGAAAUGCGUAGAUAUA